UUUUAAGUGACGAGUCCCACACAGGACGAAACGCACGUUUUGGAU
rfam:Schistosoma rodhaini strain Burundi genome assembly, scaffold: SROB_scaffold0011488